AAGUUUUGAAGCAGGCUCUUGCUAUGUAUAAUCUUGUGAUUCUCUUGCUUCUGUCUCCCAGGUGCUGGGGAUGUAGGGUGAGCCACCUCUCCAGGCUUCUGUGCAGUCUCCCUGAGCAGACCCUUGAGAGAUGGCAUGUGAGCCACAGUGCUCUGGGGACACACGGGUUGCAUCUCCAGAGAUGUACAUUCACCUUGACAUCUGUUGAGCCCUCCCUGCCCAGUCUCUGGGCCUGGUACUCUUCCAGACUCCUCUCCAACCCUGUUUCCUGCCAUCAGCCUUGCUCCCACUCAGAUGACUGCUCUGACCACACUUGUUUGGUGACACGGCUGUGGUGUUGUAACGGCCUGCAGGGCGAGCCUGUGCGGAGGUCAAAGGAUAACUUCCGGGAGUUGAUUCUCUCCUUCCAAGUGUGGGUCCCGUGGAUGAAAGUCAGGUCAUCAGGCCUGGUGCCAAGUUUCUGUCCUCAUUGAGCCAUCCUACUGACCCUUUUAUUUUGUUUUUAAAACAAAGAAGAACAAAGGUUCAAAAAUC